rnacentral:rRNA from 1 species
UACAGAGGUCCCAAGCGUUGUUCGGAUUCACUGGGCGUAAAGGGUGCGUAGGCGGUCGGGUAAGUCUGAUGUGAAAUCUCACAGCUUAACUGUGAAACUGCAUUGGAUACUACUCCGGCUCGAGGGAAUGGAGGGGAGACUGGAAUACUUGGUGUAGCAAGUGAAAUGCGUAGAUAUCAAGUGGAACACCAGUGGCGAAGGCGAGUCUCUGGACAUUUCCUGACGCUGAGGCACGAAAGCCAGGGGAGCAAACGGG